rnacentral:sRNA from 1 species
AAUAAAAGAACCCACUUAGGAGGUAGUGCUAGCAGGUGUGACAAGUGACCACAUGACUCUGGAGUGUCUGAUUAUUGCUCUGUCUGUGCCAUUAUGUGGCAGUGGCUGUUGGUGACAUGCAGGUUUACAGCGUGGGGGUGCAAGUUUCCAAAACAGGCCCAGUGCCCGCCCUCACCAAGUGCCCAUUGUCUGGGGAGACAGGAACAUGACCACGAUGGCAGAGGAGUGCCCACUGUCUGGGGAGACAGGCACGUGACCGCCGUGAUGGCGGACGCAGGGCUGCUGGUCCUGCUCAUGCUUCCGUCUGCCCCCCUGACCCCGUCUCUCCUCCCCACCAGAUUCUGUGCUGAACGCCUCCGGUCCCUGCUGUACACUCUAGAGAUCACUGACCUUGCUGACUUCUCCCCGCUCACCCUCCUUGCUAACUUUGCCACCCUUGUCAGCACCUAUGCCAAAGGCUUCACCAUCAUCAUCGAGCCCUUUGACGACAGAACCCCGACCAUUGCCAACCCCAUCCUGCACUUCAGCUGCAUGGAUGCCUCGCUGGCCAUCAAACCUGUAUUCGAGCGUUUCCAGUCUGUCAUCAUCACAUCUGGGACACUGUCCCCGCUGGACAUCUACCCCAAGAUCCUGGACUUCCACCCCGUCACCAUGGCAACCUUCACCAUGACGCUGGCACGGGUCUGCCUCUGCCCUAUGAUCAUCGGCCGUGGCAAUGACCAGGUGGCCAUCAGCUCCAAAUUUGAGACCCGGGAGGAUAUUGCUGUGAUCCGGAACUACGGGAACCUCCUGCUGGAGAUGUCUGCUGUGGUCCCUGAUGGCAUCGUGGCCUUCUUCACCAGCUACCAGUACAUGGAGAGCACCGUGGCCUCCUGGUAUGAGCAGGGGAUCCUUGAGAACAUCCAGAGGAACAAGCUGCUCUUUAUUGAAACCCAGGAUGGUGCCGAAACCAGUGUCGCCCUGGAGAAGUACCAGGAGGCCUGCGAGAAUGGCCGCGGGGCCAUCCUGCUGUCAGUGGCCCGGGGCAAAGUGUCCGAGGGAAUCGACUUUGUGCACCACUACGGGCGGGCCGUCAUCAUGUUUGGUGUCCCCUACGUCUACACACAGAGCCGCAUUCUCAAGGCGCGGCUGGAAUACCUGCGGGACCAGUUCCAGAUUCGUGAGAACGACUUUCUUACCUUUGAUGCCAUGCGCCAUGCGGCCCAGUGUGUGGGUCGGGCCAUCAGGGGCAAGACGGACUACGGCCUCAUGGUCUUUGCCGACAAGCGGUUUGCCCGUGGGGACAAGAGGGGGAAGCUGCCCCGCUGGAUCCAGGAGCACCUCACAGAUGCCAACCUCAAUCUGACCGUGGACGAGGGUGUCCAGGUGGCCAAGUACUUCCUGCGGCAGAUGGCACAGCCCUUCCACCGGGAGGAUCAGCUGGGCCUGUCCCUGCUCAGCCUGGAACAGCUAGAAUCAGAGGAGACGCUGCAGAGGAUAGAGCAGAUUGCUCAGCAGCUCUGAGUGGGGCGGGUGGGGCCAUAAACAGUUCCUGGUG